CGGAGCGUAGCUUAAUUGGCUAAAGUACACGGCUGGGGGUCGUGCGAGUGCAGGUUCGAGUCCUGUCGCUCCGA
rnacentral:tRNA from 1 species